GGACGGGUGAGUAACACGUGAGUAACCUGCCUUAGACAUUGGGAUAGCCUCGGGAAACCGGGAUUAAUACCAAAUGAAAUCACAUAUGCACAUGCAUAAAUGAUCAAAGCUCCGGCGGUCUAAGAUGGACUCGCGUCCCAUUAGCUAGUUGGUGAGGUAACGGCCCACCAAGGCGACGAUGGGUAGCCGGCCUGAGAGGGUGAACGGCCACAUUGGAACUGAGAAACGGUCCAAACUCCUACGGGAGGCAGCAGUGGGGAAUAUUGCACAAUGGAGGGAACUCUGAUGCAGCGACGCCGCGUGAACGAAGAAGGCUUUCGAGUCGUAAAGUUCUUUUAUAUGGGAAGAUAAUGACGGUACCAUAAGAAAAAGCCCCGGCUAACUACGUGCCAGCAGCCGCGGUAAUACGUAGGGGGCUAGCGUUGUCCGGAAUCACUGGGCGUAAAGGGUUCGCAGGCGGAAAUGCAAGUCAGGUGUAAAAGGCAGUAGCUUAACUACUGUAAGCAUUUGAAACUGCAUAUCUUGAGAAGAGUAGAGGUAAGUGGAAUUUUUAGUGUAGCGGUGAAAUGCGUAGAUAUUAAA
rnacentral:rRNA from 1 species